rnacentral:misc_RNA from 1 species
CUUUGGGUCUUAGCUCAGGUGGUUAGAGCGCACCCCUGAUAAGGGUGAGGUCGGUGGUUCGAGUCCUCCCAGACCCACCACUCUGAAUGUAUCGCACACGAAGAAUUUGAAUGAUUCGGCGCUGAGGCCGGGUCGUGUUCUUUAAUAAUUAGUGAUGUAGCGAACGUUUGAGAACUAAUACUCUCGACGUGUCGUUGUGGCUAAGGCGGGGACUUCGAGUCCCUAAAAUUGAGUCGUUAUAGUUCGCGUCCGGGCUUUGUACCCCUGGGCUGAAUAUACCUUGAGGCA